AUUGAACGCUGGCGGCAUGCCUUACACAUGCAAGUCGAACGGCAGCACGGGAGCAAUCCUGGUGGCGAGUGGCGAACGGGUGAGUAAUGUAUCGGAACGUACCUUCAGGUGGGGGAUAACGUAGCGAAAGUUACGCUAAUACCGCAUAUUCUGUGAGCAGGAAAGCAGGGGGAUCGCAAGACCUUGCGCUGAUUGAGCGGCCGAUAUCAGAUUAGCUAGUUGGUGAGGUAAAGGCUCACCAAGGCGACGAUCUGUAGCGGGUCUGAGAGGAUGAUCCGCCACACUGGAACUGAGACACGGUCCAGACUCCUACGGGAGGCAGCAGUGGGGAAUUUUGGACAAUGGGCGCAAGCCUGAUCCAGCCAUGCCGCGUGAGUGAAGAAGGCCUUCGGGUUGUAAAGCUCUUUCAGCCGGGAAGAAAACGCAUGGGUUAAUACCCUGUGUGGAUGACGGUACCGGAAUAAGAAGCACCGGCUAACUACGUG
rnacentral:rRNA from 1 species